AUGUAUGCUAUUCAAACCUGGUCCAGGAAUCAGUUGAAUGUUAUUCUCAUCAAUUUGCACAAGUUUGGCUUUUGGCAGGAGUUCAGAAUAACCUAUGAAGCUGUAUUACUUGUGAUGAUGCUGCUGCUGCUGUACUACUUGUCAAGUGAUGCUGCUGCUGCUAUCUGCGAGUUGCUGCUGCUAGUUUCUCCCUCGAAACGAAACCCACUGCCGCCGCCUUUCUCUCCCCAACCAACCACAACCCACCGGCGACCUCCUCCCACUCUCCCUCGCCUCCCCUCCCGUCCUCUUGUCUCCCUACUAGGCCCCAGAUCGACUCGGCCUUCUCCUUCUCAGGCCACGACCAGAUCCGCUCCGGUGUUCCCGCAUCGGCGCCGUCAUGGACCUUCCUCCUCCUUUUCCACGACCACGCUGCGGCAUAGGAAUCCUCCUCCUCCCACCGGCACCGCCACCGCGCCCUCCUCCUUCCACCUCCACAUCCAUGCAUCCAACCCUUCCUCCCUCCUCGCGCCCGAAAACCUAGCCUGUGGGUGGGCAUGUCGACCGAGCUCAGGAUCCACAGCAUCCUCUUCUCCUCCAAGAGCAAGAACAGGAACGUCUGCAAGGGGGCCCGACCAAGGAGAAGCUGCUGCUUCAGCUUUUUCCUCCUCCCCGAUGUGUGUAGGUGGUAAGCCAUCUCCAUCUCCCUCCUCCUCUCUCACCCCCAUCUCGUCUCUGAGUUCAAUCUGGGCAGCCGGAGGCGUACGAGUUCUAGGACAUGCGCCGCCCAUCGUUGACCUCCAGGUCAUCAAGAACGCCUGGGACGGCAAGAGCUACCUCCUCAUGCAGAGCACGUCCAAGAUGGCGAGCAGGACGAGGUACUGCAUGGGGAGGAUCAAGUCUUUCGUUGUCCCCCUCGCCAACUACUCCCUCGAUAGCACCGCCUCUCCAGGUGAACGUUCCGAAGACCAAGAAGACCUACUGAAAGAACAAGGAGUGCAAGAAGCACACCCUCCACAAGACAGAUGUUUGAAACCUCUUAACCGUGGACGACAACUACUUGAGAAGGACCAUCAUCACCCAUCAAGUACGCCAUUGAGCCCCAUUGCUGUUGCAUUGAAUCUCAUGCCACCACUGGUGGGCCUGUGGCUUGAUGUGCUGUGA
rnacentral:rRNA from 1 species